GUGUUUGUGUUGGUUAAUGCUAAUUGGAAUGCUUGGCAUUUCUGAGCAGCAAGUGUUUGUUACACAUCCUACUCUAUGUAUAUCAUGGGUUUCUAUGACAUCAUAAAAUUGUUUGUUGAAAGUAUUUGGAUGCUGUAGUUGGUGAAAUUAUGGGAUAGGUCUGGGACAGCUAAGUAAUUUAGCUAGCAGGUCAUACCAGUAACCACAACCCAGGUCACAGGCUGCUCGGCACUUGGGACAAUUUUGAUUAAAAUGUCAACAUUUGUGCAAACAUAUGUUGAACAAAACAAGACACAAUUUACAUCUUUUUUUUUUUUAGUUCGAAAUCCUUGUUCUUUUUGUGCCUUUUAAUGUCAGAAAAUUUUUUUUUUUCUUUGAUCUCUGUCACAUAUAAAAUUUAUGAAACUCUCAUAAAGUUGAACAUUUUUCCUAUGUUACUUGUAGAACAACCAAACUCUAAGUUUGACUCAGCUAAGCUUUUUUAAGUGAGAUGAUGGUGGGCAUUUUCAAUAUGACAUUGUCUUUCUAUGAACUGAAAAAUUAUUAUUGUUAUUAUUUUUUUUGGUGCCAUUACUUUCAUUUGCUAAAUCUAAGUUUGUGUUAGGUGACCUCCAUAAUGCUGGUGAGAAGUAAUCUUCUACUUGCUAGUGCCUCCUAAUCUUAAAAGACAAUUAAAUCUCUUGCAGUUCUCUUUCCAAGUAUGAAAUUUACACGUUAUCUCUAAUAACUCUUAACUAGUUGCCCUUUUACAG
rnacentral:misc_RNA from 1 species